GGAUGUCAUUGGUUGGAUCCACCAUCAUCGAAUCACUCUCCUGGGGAAACAAAUUAUUAAGUGCUUAGAGAUACAGCUUUUUGCAUAAUGACUAGUUAUUUCUGUGUGUCAAGGGGAAUCCUAGCAGAAUAAAAACGGAUGGUUUACAAUGUAAAUCCUGAAAGUUAAGUGGUGUCCUAUGUAAGACCAGAUGACACAAACCUGAUAAUGCAUCUCUUGAAGCGUUUGGGGUGAGCCCCGAGGCCUGGGUGCAGGAGUGGUUUACUGAGUGGCAAUCAUCAGCAAUGCCAUCUGGGGCAUUGGAGAAGACCCAUGCUGAGAGGACCUGCGAGAGAGCCAGUGGGUCUCAUCCAAGGUACAAAGAAACCAUAUAUUUUGCUAUAAUAUUCCAUACCUUCUUACUAGACACAUAGUCACUCUCCACUUUAUAAACAUGUUUUGUUACAAGAAAUGGGUCAUGUCAAUGAAGAUAUUCCAAUUUUAGUUGAGAAAAAUUUUGCUUUGCUGUUUAAAUUUUGGGUUAUUUUGUUUAGGACACUGGGGACUAAUUAGCAAUAUGUUACUUUCACUUCCAAUAGUAAAUUAACUCCAGACAUUACUAGUAACCAAGCCUCUAGUCAUAAGUAAAUUAAUUGGCUUACCUCCU